rnacentral:rRNA from 1 species
GGGGGAUAUUGCACAAUGGGGGAAACCCUGAUGCAGCGACGCCGCGUGGAGGAAGAAGGUUUUCGGAUUGUAAACUCCUGUCGUUAGGGACGAUAAUGACGGUACCUAACAAGAAAGCACCGGCUAACUACGUGCCAGCAGCCGCGGUAAAACGUAGGGUGCAAGCGUUGUCCGGAAUUACUGGGUGUAAAGGGAGCGCAGGCGGACCGGCAAGUUGGAAGUGAAAACUAUGGGCUCAACCCAUAAAUUGCUUUCAAAACUGCUGGCCUUGAGUAGUGCAGAGGUAGGUGGAAUUCCCGGUGUAGCGGUGGAAUGCGUAGAUAUCGGGAGGAACACCAGUGGCGAAGGCGACCUACUGGGCACCAACUGACGCUGAGGCUCGAAAGCAUGGGUAGCAAACAGGAUUAGAUACCCUGGUAGUCCAUGCCGUAAACGAUGAUUACUAGGUGUUGGAGGAUUGACCCCUUCAGUGCCGCAGUUAACACAAUAAGUAAUCCACCUGGGGAGUACGACCGCAAGGUUGAAACUCAAAGGAAUUGACGGGGGCCCGCACAAGCAGUGGAGUAUGUGGUUUAAUUCGAAGCAACGCGAAGAACCUUACCAGGUCUUGACAUACGAUGCAUAGUGCAGAGAUGCAUGAAGUCCUUCGGGACAUCGAGACAGGUGGUGCAUGGUUGUCGUCAGCUCGUGUCGUGAGAUGUUGGGUUAAGUCCCGCAACGAGCGCAACCCUUAUUGCCAGUUACUACGCAAGAGGACUCUGGCGAGACUGCCGUUGACAAAACGGAGGAAGGUGGGGAUGACGUCAAAUCAUCAUGCCUUUUAUGACCUGGGCUACACACGUACUACAAUGGCGUUUAACAAAGAGAAGCAAGACCGCGAGGUGGAGCAAAACUCAAAAACAACGUCUCAGUUCAGAUUGCAGGCUGCAACUCGCCUGCAUGAAGUCGGAAUUGCUAGUAAUCGCGGAUCAGCAUGCCGCGGUGAAUACGUUCCCG